rnacentral:miRNA from 1 species
GUGGAUGUCUUCCACGGUAAAU